GAUGAACGCUGGCGGCAUGCCUAACACAUGCAAGUCGAGCGAACACACGGGGAGCUUGCGCCUCUGGCGGUGUCGCGCGACGGAUCAGUAACAUGUGUAUAGCCUACCUAUAAGACAGGGAUAAUAACGCGGAACAAGAUCUAAUGCCGGAUAAUAUAUCGAACCGCGUUGUGCACGAGUUAAAGUCGGUUUUUGGUUCAGUAAUAGGCUAAUCCGGGCUGCAUUAGUUAGUUGGUAAAGUAGCGGCUUAGCAACGCGACGAUGCGUAGACGGCCUGAGAGGGUGAUCGGCCACACUGGAACAGAGGAAGGGUCCAGACUCUUACAGGAGGCCGCAGUAGGGAAUCUUCCGCAAUGGGCCAGUGCCUGAUGGAGCAACGCGGCGUGAAUGAUGAAGGUCUUCGGAUCGUAAAGCUAUGUUGUUAGGAAGGAACAAAAGCGUUUGUAACUAUGCACGUAUUGACGGUACCUGAAGAGAAAGCCACGGCUAACUACGUG
rnacentral:rRNA from 1 species